rnacentral:rRNA from 1 species
UACGUAGGGUGCGAGCGUUGUCCGGAUUUAUUGGGCGUAAAGAGCUCGUAGGCGGUUUGUCGCGUCGGUCGUGAAAUCUCCACGCUUAACGUGGAGCGUGCGGUCGAUACGGGCAGACUUGAGUUCGGUAGGGGAGACUGGAAUUCCUGGUGUAGCGGUGAAAUGCGCAGAUAUCAGGAGGAACACCGGUGGCGAAGGCGGGUCUCUGGGCCGAUACUGACGCUGAGGAGCGAAAGCGUGGGGAGCGAACAGG